GGCAUGAAAUCCUGUGGCAUCCACGAAACUACCUUCAACUCCAUUAUGAAGUGUGACGUGGAUGUUCAUGAAGACCUUUAUGCC
rnacentral:pre_miRNA from 1 species